AGCUUUCUGCGAGGCAAAUUAAGGACAUAGGGUUUGCAUAGAACAAGACUGACAAGGCCAUGAAGCAUCUAAUCAGCUUGUCAGCUGCAUCCUGCAGGGCUCUGUAAUCUGCAGUGAAGCAUGUACACAGUUUCUGCCUCUGGUAGUGUAAUAUUCCCUCUUCCACUAUAAUAUAAUCUGCAAAAGACAGAAUGCAAGUGACAUGAUGAGAAACAUUUACUCAUAAUUUUAUUUUUAUUUUAUUUUAUUUUAUUUUAUUUUAGUUAUUUCUGUUCAGGAUAGUAAAACACAGGCUGCCAACUAAUGUGUCCUAUUUCUAAGCUGACAAUAAGGGUUGGUAAAGAGAUGGGGGCAGGAGGGACCUUGUCCAUUUGGAUAGUUUAAAUUGCAGCUUAACGGGCUAACUCUAAACCAGCCUAAUUUUAUAUUCUUUAUCCUCAGCUCUGUAUUACUGAGCCUGCUCCCACAAGGAUUUUCCCGCUAUUAAAUAUUCAGAAAGUGCUUCUCAGUUUUAUCUUUCAGGGACUAAAUAACAUUCAUAACCUCUCCAUAAGAAGCUGACCUCCACUGGUUUCUGAUUACUCCUCCCCACACAACAAUCCGAGACCAAGAGGCAGAAAGAGCAUGAAAAGUGAUCCUCCAGCUGGUCCAGACUCUGCCAGAAAGCCACGGAAAUCCUCUUCACACAGGAACAAGAAGCUGAGGAAAUGCAUCCCCUGUCCCUGACCUGUGCAUUCCUGGACAUCUGUUUAGAGGAAGAACUUUGACAUGGAGCAGAGAAGAGGUCUGUGAGGAGAGGUGGGCAGAGAAGGGUUGCAGAGACAGAAAUGCCCUUUGUCCACAUAGAAGGAGAAAGAUCAACUAGCUAUGAAACUGCUCUUUUAGCAAAUUGUACUUUCUUUUUCACAAAGGUGGUAUUUUCAGACAGAGAUCAGGACACAAGGAAUCCCCACUUCACUGUGUAGUGUUAGGUGCUAAGGAUUCAGCCAAGAACUAUUUUUUUAUUUUUUAUUUUUUAUUUUUUUUUCCUGAGAUAGUCCUAAGGAAAAAUGCAUAAGAGGUAUGCAUUGUCUUAUAAGGGUGCCUGAGCCCAUUGACAAAAAGAUAACGCUUCCUACCAGAGGCGUCUUCUAGUUUUGUUGUUGUUGUUGUUGUUGUUGUUUUUUUUCUUCCUAGGCUGAAAUUAUUAUUCUGUUACAGAAAGUAAAGGUUUCACCUUCCUUCCCGUAAAAAUUCCAUGCACUUUAAAAAGAAAAGAGAAACAUUUAUUCUUCAUGCUUCUGGUCCCCAUCCAGACCUUCACAAUCUUGCAAUGUGUUUAUCCUGGAAAACAGGGAAAUGUAUGUAUUUUCCCUGUAUUGCAAAUGGAGAAUUAAGGCAAAAGAGGAUUUGCCAACCUGAGAUGUGUGUGGACCUAGAACUUCUGCUCCCACCAUCAUCUGUACCUGUGAUACACAAACACACUCAGCUUGAGAAUCCCUCACCUAGAUAAAGAAUCCAGGUGAAACAUGGCUACAAGAUGCUUUUAUGGCCACAUGUAACAUAGUCCUAACUGUCUGCUGGUCAAAGAGGCUGUGAGA